rnacentral:lncRNA from 1 species
AAUGGUAGAUUUAGAGUUUUCACACAACAUGGGGUACAUGGGGUGUUAACUUAACAAGUUCUGAAUUGUAGGCAUAACAAAAUCACUUCAAACAUGAAGUUCGGCAUUGUUAACAUCAUCAACUUUUGUAAUUGGAACAGGCUCUACAAACCUAUCAGGUCUCGUGUAACAAUGCAAUUUAACCAUGUGGAAAUGAUGUGUAUUCUUCGAUCAUCUUCCAAACAGAGGUAUCGUCGGUGAAUUCAAUCGUACUCAUCCUGCCACUGGUUUUUAACCUCAAUCACCCACUUUACCUGAAGCUCGGC